UCAUCACCGCAGACCCAACGCAAUUCUGUUCAUUUUCUAUCUACCAUUUCCACAUACCGCAGAUUCGCAUACACUCAUGCAUACAUACAGCUUACACACGCACAAUCAUGUAGGAUGUAUGCAUACGUGCACUCAAAUAUCCCCAUUUGACCUAUUCUACAUAAUCUAGGCUAAUUUGCCAAUUCCAAUAUUGAUCGGCUCUGUCAUAGGCUAUUAGGCCUGUUUCUUUUUUCAUUUGGUGAUAGGCUAUUUAAUUAAAUUGCCUGAUAUCGGUGAGACUGUAUGCUACGAGUUGAAUGGGGAGAUGAGAGGACGAGCGUCAGCUGUCAACCAGAUUCAUUCGGUGUUUUCUCUCUCUCGCCAUAAUCGUUUGAGCGUCGGUUUUCUUUUUAUCUGCGCCUGUUACAUUGUAACGCACUCGAUGUUAAUUCGGGGGAAUAUGUGAACAUCAUGCUGGCGGUGUGGUGCUUGGUCUUUGCUGCAGUGGGCGAGAGGCUUGCCGUGUCAGGCGACGGCAGGUCGACUUUGCUGCGGGAUGCGAGUUUGUGGGAUUGGUUCUCGCCAGAGGAGCGGGGAGACAGCAGCGACAUUGCGGUCGAAGUCGCCUAUCCAAAGCGGCUGGUGCAGCAGAUGGAGUCGGAGGAAGAAAUGUCCCACGGCUAUUUGGAUACUCGCAUGAAGAAUACCACGGGAGGUACCCCCCCAGUCCAUUUGGCCCAGAGUUGUUUCCAGGUGGAAACCUUCGGACACACCUUCACCCUGGACCUGGAGUUAAACCACAACCUCCUGUCCUCAGACUACGUGGAGCGGCACUUCCACCAAGACGGCAAACCCUCGCAGUCUAUGGGAGGGGAGCACUGCUACUACCAAGGGAGGUUGAGGGGCUUACCAGAGUCCUGGGCAGCUCUCUCCACCUGUCUUGGCCUAUGUGGUAUGUUUUCUGAUGGGAUGUUCUCUUAUGGGAUUGAGCCUCUUUUCGACGGGACCAAUCAGACUGAGGGGGCCCACCUAGUGCGUAGGAUGCCUGAUGUCAGACUAUCCUCAGACUGUCAAGACUGCACAGACGACAGUGGGGGGGGUGGAGCCAGAGGUAAUGGUGAUGAGCAGAUGAAGGAUCCCCGGGUCAGUGAGGUGCUGAGGCGCUCUAAGAGACAGCUGCCGCGCAGGCCCACCGUGCAGUCAGAGACCAAAUACAUCGAGCUGAUGGUGGUCAACGACUACGAAAUGUUUGUACAGCUGCGACGCUCCACUACCCAGGCCAGGAACUUUGCCAAAGCAGUGGUCAAUAUGGCUGAUGCAAUUUACAGGGAACAGCUGAACACACGCAUUGUGCUGGUUGCCAUGGAGACCUGGUCGUCGGCCAACAUGGUUCCCGUGGUGACCGACCCGUUGACGACGCUGCAGAACUUCAUGAAGUACAGGAAGGACAGUAUUAAGGAGCAAAGUGACACCGUGCACCUCUUCUCGGGGCGUACGUUCCAGAGCAGUCGCAGUGGGGCGGCCUACACCGGAGGGGUGUGCUCUCUCACCAGAGGAGGGGGCAUCAACGAGUAUGGGAACGUGGGUCCUAUGGCCAUCACUCUGUGCCAGAGUCUGGGUCAGAACAUUGGGAUGAGGUGGAAUAACAUACGCAGCUCUGCGGGAGACUGCAGAUGUCCUGAUUCUUGGCUUGGUUGUAUCAUGGAAGACACUGGAUAUUACCUGCCCAGAAAGUUCUCCCGCUGCAGUGUUGACGAGUACAUCCAGUUCUUGCUCCAGGGGGGCGGGAGCUGCCUCUUCAACAAGCCCAACAAGCUGUUGGACCCCCCUGAGUGUGGGAACGGCUUCGUGGAAACAGGGGAGGAGUGUGACUGUGGGUCUCAGCUGGAGUGUGCCCGUAGUGGAGGAGCGUGCUGUAAGAAGUGUACCCUGACCCACGAUGCCAUGUGCAGUAGUGGACUGUGCUGCAGUGGGUGCAGGUAUGAGCUGAGAGGAGCGGUGUGCAGACAGGCUGUGAAUGACUGUGACAUCCCAGAGAGCUGCACAGGAGACUCCAGCCAGUGCCCACAUAAUGUGCACAAGCUGGAUGGAUACAUGUGUGACAGUAGUCAGGGUCGUUGUUAUAGUGGUCGGUGCAGGACUCUCGAUGGCCAGUGUAAGGGACUGUGGGGCUACAAUUCAGCAGACCGCUUCUGCUAUGAGAAGCUGAAUGCAGAGGGCACAGAGAAGGGCAACUGUGGGCCGAGUCCUGAGGGCCAGGGAUGGCUGCAGUGCAACAAGCCGGAUGUACUGUGUGGUUUCCUGUUCUGUGCCAAUAUGACGGUGAAGCCAAAGUUUGGGGAUCUGGAGGGGGAAGUGACCAGCCAUACAAUAUACCACCAGAACAAGUACCUGGACUGCCGAGGGGGGCAUGUCCUGCUGGAGGAUGGGUCAGACCUGGGCUACGUAGAGGAUGGUACGCCGUGCGGACCCAACAUGAUGUGUCUGGAGCGCCGCUGUCUCCCCGUGGCAGCCUUCAACCUCAGCACCUGCUCCGGCUCCACGCUGGGACGCACCUGCUCUGACCACGGGACAUGCAGUAACGAGGUGAAGUGUAUCUGUGACAGGGACUACACUGGGAAGGACUGCAGUGUCUUUGACCCCAUCCCUGACCCCACGCCGCCUGCCAGCACAGAGAAGAAAGGGCUCAUAGGGCUCUCAUAGGCCACAAAAACCAAAUCCACCCUAAGCAAGAGGGUGUCCAGCUGAAAGAGCAAGGAGAGGGGGAUGAGAAAGAAGUCCCAGUGGCACCAAUAUCAUAAUAGGGUCCAUCGCAGGUGCUAUUCUUCUGGCAGCUAUAGUCCUAGGGGGGACAGGAUGGGGAUUUAAGUAAGAGUUCUGGCAUGCCUCUGUGUAUCUGUCUGCUUCUCCCCAAGGCCCCCACUCACACCCCUCCAAAAAACCAGACUUCACCCACUUUGCAACUCAUUGCCCCACCGACGGUGGGGUCACAUGGGUUGAGUUCACCAUCCAAUUGCUUGGAAACAUAUGGACAUAUUUAGUAUGUGUAUCGGCCUGGUACCUCUGAUACUUCACUUUGUAAGAUCUGGUAGAACUGAACCCUGACCUCCUCCAUACAUCUCUCCAGGGAGAGAAAGAGAUGCCUCCCCUUCACACCUUCAGACUGGCUCCAACCCAGCUCUCCUGCCAGGUUACAGGAGUGGACAGUUCCCCUGUAGUCUCCUGUGAAGUUCCCAAACUGUUGUGGUUCUCUUUGAAGCUUCCUUGUGUAGUGUUCAUUCUAUGAUACUUCUCCUUGGUGCAGCUCUUCAGUUGGAGUGUCUUUAAAGUAGUGACCACUCAGUAGUGCCCUAACCAAAGUGCCCUCGCUGCAGUGGCUGUCUCUGUAGAGCCCUAGCUGUGUGCAUGCCUGGCCUGCUAAUGCCUGUUCACUCCUUAGUCUCUGAACCAAAAGGAUUACAUCACUUCCCUGUCAUCACUUGCAUCAAGAAUGAUCAAAUUUGUGUUACAUUUCUUUGUCUGGUUCAUCAAACUUAAUUUCUCCAAAUUGUUCAUAUUUUGCUGGGAAUAAUGAGUAAUCCUUUUGGGGGCAGGGGUAACUGUGUGUGCAUGUGUGCAUGAUCUGUGUCAAUAUUAAUGUGGUAGGUUAAAUAUCUUCUACAAUAUCUUCUUGUAGUAGUAAGCCUUACAUUCAUUUGAACCAACAAGAACAUUGUUUAUUACUACUACAGCUGUGACGGUUAUUAGUCAGCCAAAUGACCGGGGUCACCGUUAUAAUCGUUUGAAUAGCGUUUCUUUUAAGACGCACAUUUUCUCCUCCGCUCCUGACUGCAUGUGCUGCUGCACUGAAGCGGGAGUUGCCUAGGCAACCAGACUUUUUUAUUUAUUUAUUUAUUUAUUUAUUUAUUUAUUUUUGCAACAAAAUACUUGUUUGCUACAACACCUUGCUUGUUUCAUCAAGACGCAACAAAGUUUCAUCACGUUGUAAGAGUCCACCAUACUGCGGAAACGGACUCUACCGCACGAUUUCCCGGCCAUCCCGUCUUCAGUCGGCUGUUCGUUCCACACACACAUACACACAAAACAUUUUUGUUAUGACGGUUAUUUCAUUUCAUGGUGGCCUUCAUCCAUAAUCGCCAGUUACACGAUUAUAAGGUAUUUGUGCCAGCCCUAAUUACAACACAAUUCGUUUGAGUAGGAAAAAAAGUGUCAAAGAUCUGGACUUCUUGUAGUCUUGGAGUGAGCAGUGGGAGAACACUGUCUACUACACAUCACUCUGAAUAGGCUUUAUGAAGUGCCUUGCAAAACUAUUCAGACCCCUUGAAUUUCUUGAAAUGUUAUUUUGUUACAAAGUGGUUUUAAAAUGGAUUUGAUUGUCAUUUUUUUGGUCAUCAACCCACUCAAAAUACUCUAAUGUCAAAGUGGAAGAAUAAAAAAAAUAAGAAACAUGAUUUAUAGAGAUGUGAUAAAAUAUAGUUCUUGCCUAAGUAUUCAGCCCCUUUGUUUAGACAAGCCUAAAUGAGUUCAGGAGUAAACUGUGGCUUAACAAAUCACAUAAGUUACAUGGACUCACUCUGUGAAAUAAUAGGGGUUGAUAUGAUUUUUAAAUGACUAACCCUUCCUCUGUCCCCCAUACAUACCACAUAUGUAAGGUCCCUCAGUCAAGUACUGAAUUUCAAGCACAGAUUCAACUACAAAGACCAGGGAGCUUUUCAAACGCCUCAUAAAGAAGGGCAGUGAUUGGUAGAUGGGUAACAAUAACAAAUCAGACAUUGAAUAUCUCUUCAAGCAUGGCCAAGUUAAUCAUUGUGCUGUAGAUGAUGUAUUAAACCACCCAAACAUGUCAAAGAUACAGUUGUCCUUCUGAACUGAGCAGCAGGACAGGAAUGAAACUGCUCAGGGAUGUUACCAUGAGGCCAUUGGUGAUUUUAAAACAGUCACAGAGUUCAAUGGCAGUGAUGGGAGGAAACUGAAGAUGGGUCAACAACAUUGUGGUGACUCCGCAAUACUAACCUAAACGACAGAGUGGAAAGAAGAAUACAGAUAUACUGAAUAAAAAUAUUCCAACACAUGCAUUGUGUAUGCAACAAGGCACUAAAGUAAUACUGCAAAGAAACACGACAAAGGAAUGGACUUUUUUCAAGCAGGGUGGUGGCUGCAUCAUGGUAUGGAUACUGGUGAGUUUUUCAGGAUAAAAAGAAACGGGAUGGAGCUAAGCACAGACAAAAUCCUAGAGGAAAACCAGAUUCAGUCCGCUUUACACCAGAAGAGGAAUUCACCUUUCAGCAGGACAAUAACCUACAACACAAGGCCAAAUAUACUGGAGUUGAUUACCAAGAAGACAGUGAAUUUUCCUGAGUGGCCAGGAAUCUUGACAAUUGCUGUCUAGCCAUGAUCCCCAACACCUUGACAGAGCUUGAAGAAAUAUGAAAAUAAUAAAUGGGCUGAUCUUUCACAAUUCAGGUGUGUAAAGACUCUGCCAAAGGUGUUUCUAACAUGUAUUGCCCAGGGAGCUGAAUACUUACACAUCGACCAUAUUUUAGUUAUUAUAUUUUCGAUGAACCUUUUACAAUGUGAACUAUUUUUUGCACUUUGACAUUACGGAGUAUUUUGUAUAGAUUGUUGACCAAACAAAUGACAGUUAAAUCCAUUUUAAUGGUGUAUGAAUACUUUUGCAAGGCACUGUACCAUGAUUUUGAAAUGGCUUUGUCAUCACUACACAGUAUUUACUGUUGUUAAGCCUACUUUGUCUCCUACUGUCACUGAUGUUUCUCCUCUCCUCGUGUCUCUUCUCCCAAUGUGUUGCUCCUCAACUUUCUGAUUGAAGGAAUAUCCGAAGAGGAAGAUCUGGUGGAGGAUAAGAUGUCUGUCUGUCUGUCUGUCUUUGUCUGUCUGCUCCUGUCUUUCUCUCACUCUGUGAUGUUUCCAAGUCGGAGAAGAGGGAAAAAGAACAAGUCUUCCACUCCUGUCCCGAACCUCUCCAGACCUCUUCUGUUAACAUCUCCUCUCCUGUCCACUUCCUGUCUGUCCACCUGUCCAUCUCCGGCCCCUCCGGGCCAGUGUAGCACCUCCCACAUUGCAUACCAGCCAAUUAUAUUAUCCAAUCAGGAUAAAGUCUUUGCCAUGGACAGAAUGAGAAGGUUGUUGUUGGUCCCUAGAGGGGCGUCAGGGUCUUCCUGCUUUCCAGCGACUAAGUAUUAUGCACUUCGGUGUCUGCGUACUGUAGUUCCCUUUCCUUCCGCUUACGACAGUCCAGUGAAGAACCUGUCAACAGUGGACAAAUUCAGUAUGAGACAUGUCUUUCCAAUGCUUGUCUGGAAACACACUUCUGGCCGCUGUUUGAGAAUGCUGGACUGGCCCAGACCUGCCAUCUGAAAAACGAUUUAAAACACAGAAAAACAAACAUUGAUCAAAGACUCAAGUGGCCAUUGGAUCAGUUGAACUGCCCCUUUCAGAGAGGCCAUGUCAGGUGACUGGAUGACAACCCAGAUUCAGACAUUAUCUAGUUGCAACAACACGGAUGUGAUCCAAGAAGAGUCCUGUAUUGGACGUGUUGUGUACAGGCCAUUUCCAAAGAAGGAAGAGCAACUUAUUGUGAGAAUGACUAUGAAACAAAAGCAGUAGACCGUUCAAAACAUCCUGGACUGAUGUAGGGUUUAUGUAGAUUGUUAAUUCUUUGUUCCUGUCUGUUGAGAUGUGUUGAAAUGUAGGAAGGGGGAGUUAGACCCUAUGGUUUUGGGAUCAUAUAGAAAAUGCAGCAGAGACCGUAACUCAGUGUUUUCAACUGUAGAUCUACCAACACAACAUUCCACAUAGUGUUAGUUAACAGAGCCUGUCUUGUAUGUGUCUGUAUUCUAUUCGCCACCUUCUUAAGAGGCCCAAAGUGUGUAUGGUAAAGGAGGUUGAAACUGUGUGUGUGUGUGUGUGUGUGUGUGUGUGUGUGUGUGUGUGUGUGUGUGUGUGUGUGUGUGUGUGUGUGUGUGUGUGUGUGUGUGUGUGUGUGUGUGUGUGUGUGUGUGUGUGUGUGUGUGUGUGUGGUGUGUGGUGUGUGUGUGUGAGCAUGUGUGUGAGCAUGUGUGUGAGUGUAGGGUACCAAAAUUCCGGUUACUAUCCCAAUAUUUCCAAGUUUUCCGGAAAUCCUGGUUGGAAGAUUCUCGGAAUUGUGAAGGAAUAAGCAGGGAAAUAUGGAAUCCUCCAACCAGGAUUCCUGGUAAACCAGGGAAUGUUGAGAAAGUUACUGACAUUUCGUGUGUGCGUGUGUGAGAGAAAUGACGUGAGGAAGAGAGCAGGUGAAUGAGAAAGGUACGUGUUGUGUUUGGGACAGUUAUGCCCUUGUUCACCGUGACACUCCUGCCAACAACACUGGUAGAUAGUUUAUAGAUUUUUACUUCUAGAAAAAGUUAUCUUUCUGCCUGGCUUUGUGCUCGGGAGCCAAUGGCAGCACACUAACAAACAAAUGGUUUGUAUUGAAUAUGUAACGACCAACUUAAACGAGCACUAGCCCUACAGAAUGUGGGAACACAUAUGCACAUCUAUUUGUAUAUACAGUAUGUACAAGAAGAUAAUACUGAAUGUUGAAUACAAUGUAUGAAAUUGUUUUAAAAUGCAAUGCUAAUAUUGAUUCAUUUAAUCUGUUUCAACGAAGUAUCUAUCUGUCUCCUGCCAUACAACUGUCCAUCUCCUUUAAGCCAUUCCUAGCUGUCCAUCUAUCUGUCUACCCGGCACACUGCCUAGUAAGGUAGCAAUCUGGCCAUCUAUCUAUUAUUGCAGCUGUCAAUCUAAAUGCCAUGUAAAUAUUGGACACUUAUUGAUAGGCUCUGAGCCUUACGCUGAUGAUGCUUUAACACAGUGAGUUUGAAAUGACCCCAGGACUCUUCCUCAGUGGAAAUGUGAUGAGAUGAGGUGCAUUGCUAUUGACCAGGGCCCGUAGUGCUCUGCUGGUGAAAAGUAGUGCACUAUAAGGUAAUUAGGUACCCUUUGGGACACAACCAGGGGUCUGGUACACUAGGUGUAUGGAGAGGUCUGUUUGAUUCAGCUGAGUGUCUGCACUAUGGCAGAUGCACUAUAGUUCCUCACCAUAUGUACAGAAUAUGUACAAUCUUUAGAUGGUGGCCAGUUUGUUUGCAUUUUGAAUUUAGGAAGCAGAGAAAACGCAUCAUAUCCCAUAUUUUUAAACACUAUCUUUUUAAGUAGACUAUUGAAAUAAACAGUGUAGAUGAAUUGAAAUGAAGGGGAAAUAAAAGAGUAAAGUCAAAAGUA